rnacentral:rRNA from 1 species
CCUACGGGCGGCAGCAGUAGGGAAUCUUUCACAAUGGGCGAAAGCCUGAUGGAGCAACGCCGCGUGCAGGAUGAAGGCCUUCGGGUUGUAAACUGCUUUUAUAAGCGAGAAAUAUGAUGGUAACUUAUGAAUAAGGAUCGGCUAACUACGUGCCAGCAGCCGCGGUAAUACGUAGGGGGCAAGCGUUAUCCGGAAUUACUGGGUGUAAAGGGAGAGUAGGUGGCAAGGUAAGCGAUAUGUGAAAGCCUUAAGCUUAACUUAAGGAUUGCAUAACGAACUAUCUAGCUAGAGUACAGGAGAGGAAAGCGGAAUUCCUAGUGUAGCGGUGAAAUGCGUAGAUAUUAGGAAGAAAACCAGUGGCGAAGGCGGCUUUCUGGACUGAAACUGACGCUGAGGCUCGAAAGCGUGGGGAGCGAACAGGAUUAGAUACCCUGGUAGUC